rnacentral:misc_RNA from 1 species
AAGUCGUAACAAGGUUUCCGUAGGUGAACCUGCGGAAGGAUCAUUAACAAUCUUUCAUGCAUCCAAAUCCUUGGAUGUUAACCCCACAAACAGCGAAACAAAAACUCUCAGGGUCAAGUGGGAAAACGUUGAUGGGCAGGUAGGCGGGUCUUCGGAUCUAUCUAUUUGUUCUUUCCCUAAAAAAGCUUGGCCCGUUAAUGGGAGGAUUUCUUUUUUCUUAAUUAACCUUUUUUUAACCCCAUGAAAAUUUUUGACUGAAACCUGUUAGUGCAUUAACGUGCAUUGACGUAAUUCUUAAUGAAUUAACAACUCUUAACAACGGAUAUCUUGGCUCUC